rnacentral:lncRNA from 1 species
UCCGACAAGUCCAUCAUAUUCGCCAACUUCUCCCAGCUACAGCCCGACCUCUCCCAGUUAUAGCCCUACAUCUCCUACUUAUAGUCCUACUUCCCCCAGUUACAGCCCAACUUCCCCCAGUUACAGUCCUACUUCGCCAAGCUACAGCCCUACUUCUCCAGUUUACAGUCCGACUUCCCCAGCCUACAGUCCAACAUCUCCUGCCUACAGCCCAACCUCACCAUCCUAUAGUCCAACAUCACCUUCCUAUAGUCCGACAUCACCUUCAUAUAGCCCAACAUCACCUUCAUAUAGCCCGACUUCACCAUCAUACAGUCCUACCUCACCUGCCUAUAGCCCAACUUCUCCGGGAUACAGUCCAACAUCUCCUAGCUAUAGUCCUACAUCCCCAAGUUAUAGCCCCACAUCUCCAAGUUACAAUCCUGCCUCAGCAAAGUACAGUCCUUCGCUUGCUUAUUCUCCAAGCAGUCCAAGG